AUGGAGGUCUGGUGGAAAGGAUACAGCUUCAUUACUUUAUCCCAGAUGUAUAUCCCACAUGUAUAUCCCAGAUGUAUAUCCCACAUGUAUAUCCCAGAUGUAUAUCCCAGAUGUAUAUCCCACAUGUAUAUCCCACAUGUAUAUCCCACAUGUAUAUCCCACAUGUAUAUCCCAGAUGUAUAUCCCACAUGUAUAUCCCACAUGUAUAUCCCAAAUGUAUAUCCCACAUGUAUAUCCCAGAUGUAUAUCCCACAUGUAUAUCCCACAUGUAUAUCCCAGAUGUAUAUCCCAGAUGUAUAUCCCACAUGUCUAUCCCACAUGUCUAUCCCACAUGUCUAUCCCACAUGUCUAUCCCAGAUGUAUUUCCCACAUGUCUAUCCCAGAUGUAUAUCCCAGAUGUAUAUCCCACAUGUCUAUCCCACAUGUCUAUCCCAGAUGUAUAUCCCAGAUGUAUAUCCCAGAUGUCUAUCCCAGACCAGAUGUAUAUCCCAGAUGUCUAUCCCACCUGUCUAUCCCAGAUGUAUAUCCCAGAUGUAUAUCCCACAUGUUUAUCCCAGACCAGAUGUAUAUCCCACAUGUCUAUCCCACCUGUCUAUCCCAGAUGUAUAUCCCAGAUGUCUAUCCCACAUGUCUAUCCCAGACCAGAUGUAUAUCCCAGAUGUCUAUCCCAGAUGUACAGUACCAGUCAAAAUUUUGGACACACCUACUCAUUCAAGGGUUUUUCUUUAUUUGUACAGUUUUGUACAUUGUAGAAUAGUAGUGAAGACAUCAAAACAUGAAGACAUAUGGAAUCAUGUAGUAACCAAAAAAGUGUUAAACAAAUAAAAAUAUAUUUUAUAUUUGAGAUUCUUCAAAGCCACCCUUUGCCUUGAUUACAGCUUUGCACACUCUUGGAAUUCUCUCAACCAGCUUCAUGCGGUAGUCACCUGGAAUGCAUUUCAAAUGAAUGUCAGUCAAUCCGGAAAAUGUCAAGAACUUUGAAAGUUUCUUAAAGUGCAGUUGCAAAAACCAUCAAGCGCUAUGAUGAAACUGGCUCUCAUGAGGACCACCACAGGAAAGGAACACCCAGAGUUAACUCUGCUGCAGAGGAUAAGUUCAUUAGAGUUACCAGCCUCAGAAAUUGCAGCCCAAAUAAAAGCUUUACAGAGCUCAAGUAACACACACAUCUCAACAUCUCAACUGUUCACAAGAGACUUCGUGAAUCAGGCCUUCAUGGUCGAAUUACUGCGAAGAAACCACUACUACUAAAGGGCACUACUAAAGGGCACCAAUAAGAAGAAAAUACUUUCUUGGGCCAAGAAACACGAGCAAUAGACAUUAGAUCGGUGGAAAUAUGUCCUUUGGUCGGAUGCCCAAAGUUUCGGUUUUGGUUCCAACCGCCGUGUCUUUGUGAGACGCAGAGUAGGUGAAUGGAUGAUCGCCGAAGGUAUGGUUCCCAUCAUGAAGCAUGGAGAAGGAGGUGUCAUGGAGUGGUGGUGCUUUGCUGGUGACACUGUCAGUGAUUUAUUUAGAAUUCAAGGCACACUUAACCAGCAUGGCUACCACAGAAUUCUGCAGCGAUACACCGUCCCAUCUAGUUUGCGCUUAGUGGGACUAUCAUUUUUUUCUUCAACAGGACAAUGACCCAACACAACUCCAGGCUGUGUAAAGGCAAUUUGAUCAAUAAGGAGAGUGAUGGAGUGCUGCAUCAGAUGAUCUGGCCUCCACAAUCACCCAACCUCAACCCAGUUGAGAUGGUUUGGGAUGAGUUGGACCGCAAAGUGAAGGAAAAGCAGCCAAUAAGUGCUCAGCANNNNNNNNNNCAGAUGUAUAUCCCACAUGUAUAUCCCAGAUGUAUAUCCCAGAUGUAUAUCCCACAUGUAUAUCCCACAUGUAUAUCCCACAUGUAUAUCCCACAUGUAUAUCCCAGAUGUAUAUCCCACAUGUAUAUCCCACAUGUAUAUCCCAAAUGUAUAUCCCACAUGUAUAUCCCAGAUGUAUAUCCCACAUGUAUAUCCCACAUGUAUAUCCCAGAUGUAUAUCCCAGAUGUAUAUCCCACAUGUCUAUCCCACAUGUCUAUCCCACAUGUCUAUCCCACAUGUCUAUCCCAGAUGUAUUUCCCACAUGUCUAUCCCAGAUGUAUAUCCCAGAUGUAUAUCCCACAUGUCUAUCCCACAUGUC
rnacentral:lncRNA from 13 species